GUGAUUGUAGCUCAGUUGGUAGAGCCCUGGAUUGUGAUUCCAGUUGUCGUGGGUUCGAGCCCCAUCAGUCACCCCA
rnacentral:tRNA from 11 species